AUGGCGGAGGUGGACGCGGCGGCUGCGGCUGCGGUUGGGGCGCAGGCGGUGCAGCUGAUCGACGGCGAGGGCGAGUUCGCGGGCGAGUCGGCGGAGCGGUUCAUGACGGCCGCGGGCGUCGCCGGCUGCGGGCUCUCCUACGCCGUCGUUGCCAUCAUGGGCCCCCAGAGCAGCGGAAAGAGUACCUUGUUGAACCUACUCUUUGGGACUAAUUUUAGGGAGAUGGAUGCGUUCAGGGGAAGGAGCCAAACUACCAAAGGCAUCUGGAUGGCACGCUGUGUUGGUGUUGAGCCCUGUACUGUUGUAAUGGAUUUGGAAGGUACUGAUGGAAGAGAAAGAGGAGAGGAUGAUACGGCAUUUGAGAAGCAAAGUUCAUUAUUUGCUCUUGCGAUUUCCGACAUAGUUCUGAUUAACAUGUGGUGCCAUGAUAUUGGUCGGGAGCAAGCUGCUAAUAAACCUCUUCUAAAGACAGUAUUUCAGGUCAUGAUGCGUUUGUUCAGUCCCAGGAAGACAACACUAUUAUUUGUUAUACGCGAUAAAACAAGGACUCCACUUGAACAUCUAGAACCAGUUCUAAGGGAGGAUAUUCAAAAGAUAUGGAACUCGGUUCCUAAGCCAGAGGCACACAAGGAUACCCCUCUCAGUGAAUUUUUUAAUGUCGAAGUCACCGCAUUGCCCAGUUUUGAAGAAAAAGAAGAACAAUUCAGAGAGCAGGUUCAACAACUUAGGCAGAGAUUUGCAAAUUCAAUUGCACCAGGAGGUCUUGCAGGUGAUAGGAGAGGAGUUGUUCCUGCUUCAGGUUUUUUGUUUAGUUCACAGCAGAUUUGGAAAAUUAUCCGAGAGAACAAGGAUCUUGAUCUUCCUGCUCAUAAGGUAAUGGUUGCUACUGUUCGCUGUGAUGAAAUUGCAAAUGAGAGGUUUGGCUGCCUAACCUCGGAUGCUGAAUGGCUAGAUUUGGAGAAUGAUGUACAGGCUGGUUCAGUACUCGGUUUUGGGAAAAAACUUGGAUCUAUUGUGGAGGUCCACAUGGAAGAGUAUGACAAAGAAGCUGUCUAUUUUGAUGAAGCUGUUAGGAAGGCCAAACGGCAACUGCUGGAAUCUAGAAUACUGAAUCUUGUCCAGCCUGCAUUCCAGAAAAAUUUGAGUCAUCUACGUACUAAGGCUCUUGAAAAAUUUAAAACCGGCCUUGAUCAAUCUCUUGAGAGUGGAAAAGGUUUCGCAGCAUCUGUUCGAGAAACUACUGAAUCCUCUCUCAGUGAAUUUAAUCAAGGGUGCGCAGAUUCUGUAAUCAAGCAGGCGGAUUGGGACUACUCUAAAAUCCUAGAGAAAGUUCGGCGUGAUAUUGAAGACCAUGCACUUUCAGUUCGUGAAAGCAAGCUAACAGAACUAACAAAUCAUGCUAAGGAGAAACUAAGAAAAGCACUUGUUGAACCUGUGGAAUCUCUUUUUGAUGCCGCCGGCCAAACAACUUGGGCAUCAAUAGAAAGCCUCUAUAAACGUGAGACGCAGGCCAUCCUGCCAGAGGUUUUUAAAGCCCUUUCUGGGUUUGAAAUGGGAAGCGAAUUCUCAGAAGAAAUGGUGUCAAAAUUAAGGGAUUAUGGUCAAAGCAUUGUGGAAAAUAAGGCUAAAGAAGAAGCUAGCAAAAUUUUGAUGCAUAUGAAGGAAAGGUUCACAGUGGUGUUUAGUCAUGACAAGGACUCAAUGCCAAGGACCUGGACAGGAAAGGAAGAUGUCCGUGCAAUAGCAAAGGAGGCUCGAUCUGCUGCUCUCAAACUUCUGUCUGUAUUAGCCGUCAUUCGCUGGGAUGACAAGCCAGAUAGGAUUGAAAACAUUCUGAUUUCCACACUUCUAGAUGGUUCUGUUGCGUCAAUGAGUUCAAGUGCUUCUUCUGGUGACCCGCUUGCUUCAACUAGCUGGGAAGAGGUUCAUCCAAAGCAUACGCUUAUUACUCCAGCUCAGUGCAAGUCAGUGUGGAAGCAGUUCCAAUCAGAAACUGAGUUCACCAUUACACAAGCAGUAUCAACGCAGCAAGCUCACAGGCGCGGUAAUGGCAGACUGCCUCCUCCUUGGGCGCUGGUUGCUAUGGCAGUUCUUGGUUUUGAUGAGAUCAUGAUGCUUCUGAGGAAUCCUAUAUACGUGUUCUUGCUAUUUGUGGGUUAUUUACUUGUCAGAGCUUUAGCAGUGCAGCUAGAUAUUGGCAGAGAAUUCCAAAAUGGAAUGGUUCCUGGGAUCCUAUCUGUUUCAGCAAAACUACUACCCACUCUGCAGAAUCUUCUAAACAAAGUCGCAACUGAUCAGCAGCAUCCGCCGCAACAACAAGGGCAGCAGCACCGCCCUCCGGCCGCAGAAGCUCCGGAGGCACAGCAACCGCCACCUCCGCUACUCCUGAGCCCCAAAAGCUCGAUGAGUGAACUGCGGAGGCUACACACGCCGCCGAGCCCGGUGCGCAGAUCGGUAUCGUCCCCGUCACACUCCUCACCGCCGUCACCCAAGGCGUCACCCCGCAAAGUGGCAGAGGACCAGAAACCAAGACGAGCACCUGACAACGAGUCCAGCAGUGCUUAUUCCAUAGUGUGA
rnacentral:rRNA from 1 species